AGCGAACGCUGGCGGCGUGCUUAACACAUGCAAGUCGAACGGUAAGGCCUUCGGGUACACGAGUGGCGAACGGGUGAGUAACACGUGGGUGAUCUGCCCCCUACUCUGGGAUAAGCCUGGGAAACUGGGUCUAAUACUGGAUAUGACCUCCUUCUGCAUGGUUGGUGGUGGAAAGUUUUUUCGGUAGGGGAUGAGCCCGCGGCCUAUCAGCUUGUUGGUGGGGUAAUGGCCUACCAAGGCGACGACGGGUAGCCGGCCUGAGAGGGCGACCGGCCAUACUGGGACUGAGGCACGGCCCAGAAUCCUACGGGAGGCAGCAGUAGGGAAUAUUGCACAAUGGGCGGAAGCCUGAUGCAGCAACGCCGCGUGGGGGAUGACGGCCUUCGGGUUGUAAACCCCCUUCAGUCGGGACGAAGAGAGAUUGACGGUACCGAUAGAAGAAGCACCGGCCAACUACGUGCCAGCAGCCGCCGUAAAAC
rnacentral:rRNA from 1 species